rnacentral:lncRNA from 1 species
CAAGCAUCUGCUAUCGAGCGGUUCUGCCAUCCCCUAGGGCCUUGGAGGCCUCCACUGGAUCAUCCAUGUCUGACCAGCAGGAGAGAGAAGAGCAAGAGUGUGGAGGAUGCCACAGGCAGUUUCAUGGCCUGAGCUUGGAUGUGGUGGAUCCCACUUCUGCCACCUUCACUGCUUCUCAGGUCACAUGGCCUCACAGACCUGCGGCAGAAGCUGGGAAAUUCAGUCCAGCUGGGUUUCCAGGAGGAAAAGAAAGUAGAGCUUAGUGCCGGCUGGCAUCGGCUGUUUUCCCUCUCUGAUGCUGCUUCUGACUGCUGAUGCCUGCAGCAGAGACCACCCAAGCUCCAGGGAGGCUGGCAUUCCUGCAUGACCACAUCUGGACCUCUGGCACCCCAGCCAUGCGUGGCCUCCAACGGGGACCCCAGGGAGAGAGCUGUCUUCACUCCCCACCCCACCGCUGCAGCCCGGUCACCCAGAGCAGAGCUGCCUGGGCCCCACACCUGGAGCUCUGAGUGUCACUGAUCUUUGGAACUUCGUCUUCCAGGGCUCAGCUCUGGUCUAUGGGGCUGGGGCUGAGGACAGCCCAGGCAACCAACACCAUGCAGCGUGUUUCACUUGCCCAUUGCUCAUGAACCUCAAUUCUUUCUGCCAUUUAUUCAAGUCCCUCCAGCCCCCCACACUGGUCUGGAUCCUAGGCCUGAACACGGCUCAGGUUCCCAGUGGGACCCUGGACUUGGGGCUACACAUGGGCUAACCCAGAGCAAAAGCUGCACAAGGUGUUUUCCUGACCCCUCAGAUAAAAUAUGGCCCUUCACCCCUCCCGGUAACCCUCUCAGUCCCUUCCUCUGCUUAUGUUUUCGUCUCAUUGCUUCCUGUUCUAUUUUACUUUAUUUUUUAUUUAUUUUCUGUCUCCUGUCACGAGAACGUUAGACUUUGAGAGCAGGAAAUUGAUAUUGAUGAGUGCUGUAUUCCUAGCACCCCGAACAGUGCUGGGCACAAAGUUGGUGCAUAAUAAAUGUGUUGAGAUAAAAAAGUAAGAGUGGACAGGGGUUGAUUUUCCAUUCUAUAACAUGACUUCUUUCACUUAUUAGGCAUGGCUAAGGAACCGAAGACGCAG